GUGUAGCUCAGUUGGCAGAGUGUUUGUCUUGCAAGCACAAGGCCCUGGGUUCAAUCCCCAGCAC
rnacentral:tRNA from 1 species